AAAAGAAGCAAAGCAUGAAAUGCAGUUCAAACACAAACAAAAGUGGUUCGUUGUUAAGGGAAAAGGAUUUAAACUUUAGAGGUAUUUGUUUGUCUGAAAAUUGUAGAGUGAAUGGAUAUGUACCUUCAUCAUCCUUAUUACUGUUGUGUGUUGAUCUGCGUGAAAAACUUCAAUAAUUUCUCACAGAAAUGUCAAACAUUAAAACAAAUCAAAACCCUGUUAACGUUUGUGACAACCAAACAUCCAACAUUUACGAAAUCCAAAGCUUACACAACAGAAUCACAUGCUUCAAUGUCACACAUACAUGACAACCCCAUUAACAUUGUCCACAUAAAUUAAAUCAUUACUAACAAUACUUGGAUACAUUAAUUUCUAUCAGAUUAGGUCAUCACUCAAAGCUCAUAUGGUAGGACCUGCAAAACCAGGGAAAAAGAAAUAUGAUCAUGUUGAUGAUUGCUAAUUAAUAACAAAAAAAUUAGAUGAUUAUAUAAUUAUAUAAUAUAUUCCCAUUUCCCAUUUGCCUAUGCCCUACCUAUAUCCAUUGGCAGACAUGGCCAAACCAGUAAGUAGAAUAACCUGGGCCAGAGUUGGACUGGAAUAGUGGACGAGAAUCGUUCCCUCGUCUGCCGUUUCGUAACAAGAUAAUUGGCAUGAUUUCUAAUUUGACACCUUCCUUAUUGGAUUCAUCUUACGAGUUUUUCCUUGGAGGGUCCCUUACCCUAUAGAUGAUUAGCGUAAUAGUGUUCAUAUCCAUCGAAAAUGACAGGGAGGCCAGCUUCAGGUCCUCUCCCGUCCACCUACCAUGACCUCUCGAUGUAUAUGCUAUUAUCUAGCUGGACUAGCUAUAACUACAUCAGGUUGUGUGUACAUUUAAUAUAACAUCUCCGUGCUUUUUCUUUGUUAACCUUAAUUAUGGUAGCUUAAUUGUCUUUUUCUUUUUAAUGUAAAAAAUUGGCUACAUUGGGCAAAUUAACUCAUGUCCAUCUGGGCCAUCCUGAAAUUGGGAUUAGGUCCCAUGUGCAGCAGGAUUGGAUUUUAUGGUAGUCAUGCUAAUGAAUUUUGUUGACACACCCAAUGAUUGGAUGUUUAAACAUAUUGUAAUUAUGCAUUGUACUCUAAAAUCAUAUUAUACAAUUCAGACAAAUUAUUAUUUAAGUAAUGUCUUGAACAAUGUAAUUUUUGACACUGUACAUUCUUUAAUCAUUUUCUUUUCUUAAUUAUUAUCUAUAGAGUUGAUAAUGUUGUCUAUUUUGUAUUAAGAAAAUCCUAAUUUAAUUGUUAAUUGUGUACCAAUAAGAAAAAAAAAUAACUCCAAACGUUCUUAAAAAUUCUAAAAUUUUAGUGCAUGCGUUAAUUUUGGUCUCACCUUUUAAUUUUGUCGCACUAUAGCUAUUAUAAAUUAAAAAUAAAAUGAAAUUAAAAAUUCUAAUAAAUGGUAAAAUGAUAUGCCUUUUAAACAAAAUUUUAAUAUAUCAUGUCAAUUUUCAGAAUUAUAGAUCAUAUAAUGUGUUUUGAUUUUGUCCAUAUAAGACUAAUAAAUCUCAAAAUAGAUUGUACAUAUUACAAUAGAGUUGGCAAAAUUGCAUAAAUUCUAUUGGUGAUUUGGCCCAAUAAUAAUAAUAAUAAUAAU
rnacentral:misc_RNA from 1 species